GCCCGCUUGGCUCAGUGGUAGAGCGUAUCACUAGUAACCCUCAACGAGAGUUCAUGAUAAGGUCAUCAGUUCGAUUCUGAUAGUGGGCA